rnacentral:rRNA from 1 species
UCGAGGAUCUUCGGCAAUGGGCGCAAGCCUGACCGAGCGACGCCGCGUGUGCGACGAAGGCCUUCGGGUUGUAAAGCACUGUCGAGGGGGAGGAAGCCCGCAAGGGUUGACCUAUCCCUGGAGGAAGCACGGGCUAAGUUCGUGCCAGCAGCCGCGGUAAGACGAACCGUGCGAACGUUGUUCGGAUUCACUGGGCUUAAAGGGCGCGUAGGCGGCGCGACAAGUCGGGGGUGAAAUCUUCCGGCCCAACCGGAAAAGGGCCCCCGAUACUGGCGUGCUGGAGGGAGGUAGGGGCGCGCGGAACUUCCGGUGGAGCGGUGAAAUGCGUAGAUAUCGGAAGGAACGCCGGUGGCGAAAGCGGCGCGCUGGACCUCACCUGACGCUGAGGCGCGAAAGCCAGGGGAGCGAACGG